rnacentral:rRNA from 1 species
GAUGAACGCUGGCGGCGUGCCUAAUACAUGCAAGUCGAGCGAACGGACGAGAAGCUUGCUUCUCUGAUGUAGCGGCGGACGGGUGAGUAACACGUGGAUAACCUACCUAUAAGACUGGGAUAACUUCGGGAAACCGGGGCUAAUACCGGAUAAUAUUUUGAACCGCAUGGUUCAAAAGUAAAAGACGGUCUUGCUGUCACUUAUAGAUGGAUCCGCGCUGCAUUAGCUAGUUGGUAAGGUAACGGCUUACCAAGGCAACGAUGCAUAGCCGACCUGAGAGGGUGAUCGGCCACACUGGAACUGAGACACGGUCCAGACUCCUACGGGAGGCAGCAGUAGGGAAUCUUCCGCAAUGGGCGAAAGCCUGACGGAGCAACGCCGCGUGAGUGAUGAAGGUCUUCGGAUCGUAAAACUCUGUUAUUAGGGAAGAACAUAUGUGUAAGUAACUGUGCACAUCUUGACGGUACCUAAUCAGAAAGCCACGGCUAACUACGUG